rnacentral:rRNA from 1 species
GACGAACGCUGGCGGCGUGCUUAACACAUGCAAGUCGAACGGAAAGGCCCUGCUUUUGUGGGGUGCUCGAGUGGCGAACGGGUGAGUAACACGAGAGUAACCUGCCCCUGACUUUGGGGUAACUUCAGGAAACUGGGGAUAAUACCGGAUAGGAGCUCCUGCUGCAUGGUGGUGGUUGGAGAGAUUGGGCGGUUGGGGAUGGACUCGCGGCUUAUCAGCUUGUUGGUGGGGUAGUGGCUUACCAAGGCUUUGACGGGUAGCCGGCCUGAGAGGGGGACCGGCCACAAUGGGACUGAGAUACGGCCCAGACUCCUACGGGAGGCAACAGUGGGGAAUAUUGCACAAUGGGCGGAAGCCUGAUGCAGAAACGCCGCGUGCGGGAUAAGGGCUUUCGGGUUGUAAACCGCUUUCGCCUGUGACGAAGCGUGAGUGACGGUAAUGGGUAAAGAAGCACCGGCUAACUACGUG